GACGAACGCUGGCGGCGUGCUUAACACAUGCAAGUCGAACGGAAAGGCCCUGCUUUUGUGGGGUGCUCGAGUGGCGAACGGGUGAGUAACACGUGAGUAACCUGCCCUUGACUUUGGGAUAACUUCAGGAAACUGGGGCUAAUACCGGAUAGGAGCUCCUGCUGCAUGGUGGGGGUUGGAAAGUUUCGGCGGUUGGGGAUGGACUCGCGGCUUAUCAGCUUGUUGGUGGGGUAGUGGCUUACCAAGGCUUUGACGGGGAGCCGGCCUGAGAGGGUGACCGGCCACAGUGGGACUGAGAUACGGCCCAGACUCCUACGGGAGGCAGCAGUGGGGAAUAUUGCACAAUGGGCGGAAGCCUGAUGCAGCAACGCCGCGUGCGGGAUAACGGCCUUCGGGUUGUAAACCGCUUUCGCCUGUGACGAAGCGUGAGUGACGGUAAUGGGUAAAGAAGCACCGGCUAACUACGUG
rnacentral:rRNA from 1 species